AGAGUUUGAUCCUGGCUCAGAUUGUACGCUGGCGGCAGGCUUCACACAUGCAAGUCGAACGGUAACAGGAAGGAAGCUUGCUUUCUUUGCUGACGAGUGGCGGACGGGUGAGUAAUGCUUGGGAAUCUGGCUUAUGGAGGGGGAUAACUACGGGAAACUGUAGCUAAUACCGCGUAAUAUCUUCGGAUUAAAGGGUGGGACCGUAAGGCCACCUGCCAUAAGAUGAGCCCAAGUGGGAUUAGGUAGUUGGUGGGGUAAAGGCCUACCAAGCCGACGAUCUCUAGCUGGUCUGAGAGGAUGACCAGCCACACUGGAACUGAGACACGGUCCAGACUCCUACGGGAGGCAGCAGUGGGGAAUAUUGCACAAUGGGGGGAACCCUGAUGCAGCCAUGCCGCGUGAAUGAAGAAGGCCUUCGGGUUGUAAAGUUCUUUCGGUGAUGAGGAAGGCGGUUGUUUUAAUAGAACAAUCGAUUGACGUUAGUCACAGAAGAAGCACCGGCUAACUCCGUGCCAGCAGCCGCGGUAAUACGGAGGGUGCGAGCGUUAAUCGGAAUGACUGGGCGUAAAGGGCACGCAGGCGGUGACUUAAGUGAGAUGUGAAAGCCCCGGGCUUAACCUGGGAAUUGCAUUUCAUACUGGGUCGCUAGAGUAUUUUAGGGAGGGGUAGAAUUCCACGUGUAGCGGUGAAAUGCGUAGAGAUGUGGAGGAAUACCGAAGGCGAAGGCAGCCCCUUGGGAAUAUACUGACGCUCAUGUGCGAAAGCGUGGGGAGCAAACAGGAUUAGAUACCCUGGUAGUCCACGCUGUAAACGCUGUCGAUUUGGGGAUUGGGCUUUAAGCUUGGUGCCCGUAGCU
rnacentral:rRNA from 1 species